rnacentral:rRNA from 2 species
CCUACGGGGGGCAGCAGUGGGGAAUAUUGGACAAUGGGCGCAAGCCUGAUCCAGCCAUGCCGCGUGAGUGAUGAAGGCCUUCGGGUUGUAAAGCUCUUUUGGCGGGGACGAUGAUGACGGUACCCGCAGAAUAAGCCCCGGCAAACUUCGUGCCAGCAGCCGCGGUAAGACGAAGGGGGCAAGCGUUGUUCGGAAUUACUGGGCGUAAAGGGCGCGUAGGCGGUCCUUUUAGUCGGACGUGAAAGCCCCGGGCUCAACCUGGGAGGUGCGUUCGAUACUGGGGGACUUGAGAGUGGGAGAGGUUGGUGGAAUUCCCAGUGUAGAGGUGAAAUUCGUAGAUAUUGGGAAGAACACCGGUGGCGAAGGCGGCCAACUGGACCAUUUCUGACGCUGAGGCGCGAAAGCGUGGGGAGCAAACAGGAUUAGAUACCCUAGUAGUC